rnacentral:rRNA from 1 species
CUACGGGCGGCAGCAGGCGAGAAAACUUUGCAAUGUGCGAAAGCACGACAAGGUUAAUCCGAGUGGUUUGUGCUAAACGAACCUUUUGACAGUCCUAGAAACACUGUUGAAUAAGGGGUGGGCAAGUUCUGGUGUCAGCCGCCGCGGUAAAACCAGCAUCUCAAGUGGUCAGGAUGAUUAUUGGGCCUAAAGCAUCCGUAGCCGGCUCUGUAAGUUUUCGGUUAAAUCUGUACGCUCAACGUACAGGCUGCCGGGAAUACUGCAGAGCUAGGGAGUGGGAGAGGUAGACGGUACUCGGUAGGAAGGGGUAAAAUCCUUUGAUCUAUUGAUGACCACCUGUGGCGAAGGCGGUCUACCAGAACACGUCCGACGGUGAGGGAUGAAAGCUGGGGGAGCAAACCGGAUUAGAUACCCGGGUAGUC